GCGCGAUUAGCUCAGCGGGAGAGCACUACCUUGACACGGUAGGGGUCACUGGUUCAAUCCCAGUAUCGCGCACCC
rnacentral:tRNA from 1 species